rnacentral:rRNA from 1 species
GACGAACGCUGGCGGCGUGCCUAAUACAUGCAAGUCGAACGCUGAAGGAGGAGCUUGCUUCUCUGGAUGAGUUGCGAACGGGUGAGUAACGCGUAGGUAACCUGCCUGGUAGCGGGGGAUAACUAUUGGAAACGAUAGCUAAUACCGCAUAAUAUUGACUAUUGCAUGAUAGUCAGUUGAAAGGUGCAACUGCACCACUACCAGAUGGACCUGCGUUGUAUUAGCUAGUUGGUGGGGUAACGGCUCACCAAGGCGACGAUACAUAGCCGACCUGAGAGGGUGAUCGGCCACACUGGGACUGAGACACGGCCCAGACUCCUACGGGAGGCAGCAGGAGGGAAUCUUCGGCAAUGGACGGAAGUCUGACCGAGCAACGCCGCGUGAGUGAAGAAGGUUUUCGGAUCGUAAAGCUCGGUUGUAAGAGAAGAACGAGUGUGAGAGUGGAAAGCUCACACUGUGACGGUAUCUUACCAGAAAGAGACGGCUAACUACGUG